rnacentral:rRNA from 1 species
AAGCGACUUCGGGAUGCUGACGAGUGGCGAACGGGUGACCCAUAGAGCGGAACGUGCCUAGUAGUGGGGGAUAACUACUCGAAUGAGUAGCUAAUACCGCAUGAAAUCUACGGAUGAAAACAGGGGACCUUCGGGCCUUGUGCUACUAGAGCGGCUGAUGGCAGAUUAGGUAGUUGGGGGGGUAAAGGCUUACCAAGCCUGCGAUCUGUAGCUGGGCUGAGAGGACGACCAGCCACGCUGGGACUGAGACCCGGCCCAGACUCCUACGGGAGGCAGCACUGGGGAAUUUUGGACAAUGGGCGAAAGCCUGAUCCAGCAAUGCCGCGUGCAGGAUGAAGGCCCUCGGGUUGUAAACUGCUUUUGUACGGAACGAAAAGCCUGGUGCUAAUAUCCCCGGGUCAUGACGGUACCGUAAGACUAAGCACCGGCUAACUACGUGCCAGCAACCACGGUAAGACGUAGGGUGCAAGCGUUAAUCGGAAUUACUGGGCGUAAAGCGUGCGCAGGCGGUUUUGUAAGACAGUGGUGAAAUCCCCGGGCUCAACCUGGGAACUGCCAUUGUGACUGCAAAGCUAGAGUGCGGCAGAGGGGGAUAGAAUUCCGCGUGUAGCAGUGAAUUGCGUAGAUAUGCGGAGGAACACCGAUGGCGAAGGCGAUCCCCUGGGCCUGCACUGACGCUCAUGCACGAAAGCGUGGAGAGCUAACAAGAUUAGAUACCCUGGUAGUCAACGCCCUAAACGAUGUCUACUGAUUGUAGGUCUUAACUGGACUCAUAACGAAUCAUAACGCCCGAAUUUGACCGCCUGGGGGAGUACGGCCGCAUGUUGGAAACUUCAAAGGAAUUGGACGGGGACCCGGCACACGCGUGGGAUGAUGUGGUUUUAAUUCGUAUGCAACCUCGAAAAACCUUGACCUACCUUUGACAUG